GGAAGGAUCAUUAACAGGAUGGACCCGGCUCGCCGGUGCUCUGCCUACCUUGCAUAAUCUACCUUUGUUGCUUUGGCGGGGCGCCUCACGGCCAGCGGCUCCGGCUGCUGCGCCCCCGCCAGAGGACCCUAACUCUUGAUUUUAGUGAUGUCUGAGUACUAUAUAAUAGUUAAAACUUUCAACAACGGAUCUCUUGGUUCUGGCAUCGAUGAAGAACGCAGCGAAAUGCGAUAAGUAAUGUGAAUUGCAGAAUUUAGUGAAUCAUCGAAUCUUUGAACGCACAUUGCGCCCUUUGGUAUUCCGAAGGGCAUGCCUGUUCGAGCGUCAUUACAACCACUCAAGCCUUGGCUUGGUCUUGGGGUUCGCGAUCUCGCGGCCCCUAAAAUCAGUGGCGGUGCCGGUCGGCUCUACGCGUAGUAAUACUCCUCGCGACAGGGUCCGGACGGUGUCUUGCCAGCAACCCCCCAUUUUUUCAGGUUGACCUCGGAUCAGGUAGGGAUACCCGCUGAACUUAAGCAUAUCAAUAAGCGGAGGAAAAGAAACCAACAGGGAUUACCUCAGUAACGGCGAGUGAAGCGGUAACAGCUCAAAUUUGAAAGCUGGCUCUUUUAGGGCUCGCAUUGUAAUUUGUAGAAGAUGCUUCGGGUGUGGCCCCGGUCUAAGUUCCUUGGAACAGGACGUCAUAGAGGGUGAGAAUCCCGUAUGUGACUGGGUGCUUCCGCUCAUGUGAAGCUCUUUCGACGAGUCGAGUUGUUUGGGAAUGCAGCUCAAAAUGGGUGGUAAAUUUCAUCUAAAGCUAAAUAUUGGCCAGAGACCGAUAGCGCACAAGUAGAGUGAUCGAAAGAUGAAAAGCACUUUGGAAAGAGAGUUAAACAGUACGUGAAAUUGUUGAAAGGGAAGCGCUUGCAACCAGACUUGCGCGCUGAUGAUCAUCCGGGCUUCUGUCCGGUGCACUCGUCUGCGCUCAGGCCAGCAUCGGUUUCGGUGGUGGGAUAAAGGCCUUGGGAAUGUAGCUUCUUUCGGGGAGUGUUAUAGCCCUCGGUGCAAUGCCGCCUACCGGGACCGAGGACCGCGCUUCGGCUAGGAUGCUGGCGUAAUGGUUGUAAGCGACCCGUCUUGAAACACGGACCAAGGAGUCUAACAUCUAUGCGAGUGUUUGGGUGUUAAACCCAUACGCGUAAUGAAAGUGAACGGAGGUGAGAACCCUUAAGGGUGCAUCAUCGACCGAUCCUGAUGUCUUCGGAUGGAUUUGAGUAAGAGCAUAGCUGUUGGGACCCGAAAGAUGAUGAACUAUGCGUGAAUAGGGUGAAGCCAGAGGAAACUCUGGUGGAGGCUCGCAGCGGUUCUGACGUGCAAAUCGAUCGUCAAAUUUGCGUAUAGGGGCGAAAGACUAAUCGAACCAUUGGGUUGCUAGGUGGUUAAGAGGCCCCCGCGAGGGGUGCUUAGUCCCGCGAGGGGCGACACUAUCAAAUUGCGGGGACGUCCCGUUCUAAAUUCGCCGCUACCGCCGCCGCGCCGAAAGGCCCGGCGCGCACCAGGUUAACGACCUCGGGUAUGGUAACAACGCGGCGAUAGGGAUGAUCCGCAGCCAACUCCUACGGGCCGCCGCGCCUACGGAGGCAGUUCACAGGCUAGAUGUUAGUGGGUCCGAUGCUGGACUUAAGAUAUAGUCGAUCCACCGGGAGACCGGAUGGGGCAGAUGCUAGUAGCUGGUUCCUGC
rnacentral:misc_RNA from 1 species